UGAAAAUAUUCCAUGCAUGGAUUCUCUUCUUUCCAUAAUAUGCAGUAUGGACUUGCUUGCUGCCUAAGCAAUCAGACAAAGCCAACAUCUUGCCAAUUGGGUCAUGUCCUUUACAUAUAAGUUAAGCUAUCAUGAAUCUUCCUCAUACAUUACGUACAACAAACAGAGCUUUUAGAUUUAAGGGUUACAGAAUUGUUGUAUUAUUUCAAAGGAGGGCAAGUUGAGGCAAGUUGAUUAUGGAGAACAAAACACAGCAAGUUAGGGCUCUUGUGAUAAAUAUCAUGUAUUCCUUUUCCUUUGCUUGAGAAGUGACUCGUGUAGACUACUGUGGCAAUUUGGAUGAUAUAAGCUAUGUUGUCAUAUUGAUUGUAUUUGCUUCAGAAGUGAAGCUUUAAUAAAAUCUAUGAAGAAAACCUAAGAACAUGCAGAUAUGUUGACAUUGAUACAAAUGCCAAUGCAAUUAUGCUUGUUGGGAAGGGAAUGAAUCGUAAAGAUUAAUAGCUUUGACCAUUCCACCAGCAACCAAUUCAACAGCCACUCUUAACUGAUCUAGAUUUUGGCAUCUAAGGUCAAAAGAUAUUGCAACCGAAGCCAAAGAGUUCUAACAGUGACAAGGAACCUGGAUUUGAAAGUGCGAAAGCUGGAAAACCACUGAAAUAUGUGGCUGCAUAUGAUAUGAUGGUAUGUUUCUAUGAAAACAUGAGUUCAUACUUCAACAUAUAAAAAAAUUGUUAUGUUUUCCCUACCUUAAAAAGCAUGGUCAUUUCAUGUUGUAUUUUGUAUUGAACAGUAGGUAUGAGUAGAUUCUAGUAUUACGUUUACUCUAUUCUUGUACAAUUAUGGAAUGUUACUUUUAUCAUUUGUUAAAAUGCAAGGAUAAAUGGUAACUUGAAAUACAUACUUUUCAAGCUUGGCUCA